CACCUCUACCUGGUUUUCACUGUUGGACUUCUUGUAUUAACUUCUCACUGUUUGCAUCAGCUCUUUGUAGAAAAAGAUCUGUGAAAAGCAAUUUCCGUUUUCCCUGUGACUGCUGACCUGGGCUUGAUCUAAUCAGUGCGUGCACACCGUCCUUUCUGUGUCUCUGAGGUCUCUAAGCUGGGUGGUGCAUUGUAAGAGGCAGCAAUCUUUUCUGUAUGUCUGUUAUUUCUGACAGUGUUACGGAUUCUACCUUCAUCCAGAGCCUUACUUCUUUUCUCUCUGAUAGUAAUUUUACUAUAAAGAACUUAGUUUUUCUUUAUACCUACAGAUGAACAUUCUUUAAACUGCCAACAUAUACUAAGAUACAAUAAAUAGCUUAAUGUCAGAUACUUAGAAAAGGAUGCUGGGGCAUUUGUGGAAAAGCAUGGAAAACACAUGUUGACUUGGUUAGGGGGCUAAGCAUUUUGUCUCCUUAAAUGAGUAAUCUUUGUAUCUAGCCUAAAUGUAUGCACAUUGUUUCAAGAUUCUUCACUGCUAGAUUGUUAAAAACAAAAACAAAAACCCACCUAUCAGUUAUUUACAAUAGUGUCCACUGUGCGCUGUGUAUAAGCAUGCACUCUUAAGGAUAGUGUUCUUUGAGGAUAGUUUCCCCUGCAUUUGAAUCUGGCUAGCUUGUGUCUGUUUUUUUGCUAUAGCAACUUAAAGUGGGAGAGCAGUGUCCAGCCUGCUGUGCUGUGCUGUGCUGUGCUGUGCUGUGCUGUGCUGCUGCUGGUUACUUGCGGCCCAGUGAGCUGAGCUGCUCGUUGUCAGCAGGCUCAGCAGUCCCAUGUCUGUGUUGAGCUGAGUAACUGCUUUGUUUCUCUUUCGUGUUUUUGAGAUAGAGUCUCACUAUGUAUUCUAAGCUGACAUGGAACCUACUGUGUAGCUCAGGCUAGCCUCAACCUUAUGAUCUUCCUGCCUCUGCCUUCCAAUUGUGGGGUUGUAGGAUGGCGAUCCCACAUAUUUAACAACUUUAAAUUAUUUUGGAGGGUACAAUCCUUAUUAGUUUCAAAUUAGGAAUGUUCUAUUGUAAGGAAGCAAUGAGGCUAUUUUUUUCUAAGUAUAAUUUGAAGAGUUUUUUUGUUUUUUUAAAGAUACAUCUGAUGAUACGAUGUUUACAUAAAGAGACAAACUAUCUUCUUGCAGACUUGGAAAGAGUAGAAAUGAGGAUCUUUUCUUCCUUGCCAUAGGCUGCCCACCUCUUUCUACUUGUCAUCAGGCAAGGAGGGGUGGCUGCUAUACAGUCUGCCAGCCCGAGAACCUGUGUGCCACAGCUGUAUCCCACUUCACUCCUUUCUCUGUCUCCCAGGCUGCAGUGCCAAGUCUUAUCCUGUAAAGAUUCUAUCUGUUAAGGGAUAGACCUCCUGACAGCUUCAUCAUCUCCACGCAGAGCAGAGCACACUAGCUUAGGAGAGAGAAGCCGUCAAGUCUCUGUAGUGCUGGGGACUUACAGCUUUCUCUUUGUCACUGGGCCAUUUAUGUUAUGUAUAGUAUGGACAGCUGCACUUCUCUUCAGGUCUUCAGGCAUCUAAAAUUAUUGUAAAUUUGUUUUGGGCUUACAGGAGAUGGUAAGACCAGGAACUGAAUCAUGCCAGUGACUUCCUCCUGCACUCUGAAACUACCUCUUAGUCUCUUUACAACACUUGGCCCUUUGGGGAUCUUUCCUUCUAGUUACCCAAACCUCUCUUUCCUGUGCCUCAGAAGAAUUCUUACUUUUCCUUAGAAUUAUUAUUACAAUGACAUGCAUUCGUUUGUUUUUUUUUAAAGUAUUGGACUUGGGCUAAGUGGGGGGCAGGAAAGAAGGUCAGUGUCUUGUGUCUGUGGACAACAGGAUAGGGUCCUGAGGCAUGUUAGCAUUCCUCACUGGUGUUUCAGGAGAGCUGUCGGGAGCAAUAUUAGAUUCCCUCUCUAUGCCCCUCGGCCCACCACAUUUUCUCCUUUAUUCACGAAGACCGUCGGCUUUCUCACUGAGCACAGACAUAACUUAUCAGGCGCUGCUGCCACAGCUGCUCUUGUUCACAUAGUUUAACAUCCUUACCUGUGCUGUACACAUGCAGAAUUUUAUUGGGAGUGGGGUUUUCAAGAGAAUAUAAUUUUAUAUUAGUGUAAGAAUAUUAUACUAGGCAAAUGUUUAGUUAUCUGAAUUACGCUUAAGGUAUUGUAAUUUAAUAAUGGCAGGUUAACCAGAAGUCUACUGAAACGUAAAAUUAACUGGAAAUAAUUCCUUAAAUUUUAUAUUUUUGAAGACUUUAGCCUGAAACAACCUUUUACUUUAGAAUGUUGAAAAUGCAUGCUGCUUAAGAUUUGUCUAGUUCAAAAUUCAAACCUUGCUGGGUCAUUUUUACACAGGGAACAUCCUGGUAGCCAUGUAUUGCCUGGUGGAUGUUUUUUGUUUAUUUUGAAUUCUGGACACUUUUGGGAUAAAGAAUAGUUAAACUUGCCACCUAGGACAAAGCUGGAUGUAGCAGAGCUGGUUUGGGGGUUUGGGGUUGCAACAAAUAGAAAACAAAAACAGUGAGCUCAGAGGAAUGGAGCAUCAUGUAGGAUUUGCCACGGUAUUGGUGGGGAGGGCGUAUUUAACUAAAACAUAGAAGGGGGUCUAUAAGGUCACUUCUUCAUAUGGCUUGUCAGUUGUUUUGUAAAUUACAGACUUUAACACGACUUGCUCUUUUAAGCCCAAAAGGAAAAACAUUUAUCCUUUCAGAGUGUCUGGAAUGUUUAUAGUAAUAAUUUCUAUAAAAACACUCAUGGAUACAUUUUUGGUGUUUUUUUUUUUUUAAAUUGCAGUGAGAACCACAUAUCAUAAGGUUUGUCGUCCUGACUGCUUCUAAACAUGCAGUUCAGAAGGGUCACUUCCUCUCCGUUUGUUGGGAAACACGCAUAGAACUUUAUCCUGCACCUAUCAAAGGCUUCCUUCUUCCUUCCAUCUGGGCAACAGGGUUCUGACUACUUAGAACACCAGCACUCAGAUUGCUGACUAGAGUCAUUUGUGUUUGCAAGACCCAAACCUGGGUCAACAUCAGGCUCCUGAGAUUUGAGGAAGGGCACCUCUCCCCUGCCAUAACUGCUAUUUUUUUUACAUGUAUGUUAAUUGAAAGAGUUUAUUAUUUCGUUAUGAGCCAGAGGGGGGAAGCACAUUUUAAAUAUGGGAAAUAAGUUAGCUUUGGUUUUGUACUGUAUUGGGAAGGUAAUAGAUUUUUCACAAGUGAUUUGUGCCUUGUUAUAAAUGUCAAUUGUCAUUGAGUCUACUUGUCAAAGUCACAGAAUACAUUUUUCUUUCAAAAUGGCAACCUGAUUUAGCUUGUUUGAAUAUUACAAUAGGAAUGCUUACUGAUACUACUUGAUAAUCAUGUAUAUCCUUUUGACUUACACACACAAACACACAUGAGACAACAGGAUUGAUAAUUGCAGUUGUAUGUCUUUAAACACUAAACGUAGGAAGCUUUUUAAUGUUGCCUUGUGUGUGUGUGUUGCUUUACUGCAGUGAGGGAGAAAUCCUUUGCACCAAGCUUCAGUGGCUGAUAAGUGGCUAGCAGUGGGUAAAAUUACAAUGUAAAAAUAGGGGUGGAUAGUUAAUAACGUUAAGUUGCUACCUUGGCAUUUUCUACCUCCUUUUCUACGAGAAUACUGCUUUUCUUUCACCCAUCUAGCAUCUUGUCUUAUUUGUGGGAGAAAAGGAAACAACCUGAAGAUAAAGUUAGAUUUUCUUUUUUUUUUUUUUUGAGAAUUUAAGCAAUAGAUACAGGAAAAGUGGCCUGUCACAUUAAUUUGGUGCCUAAAUGUAAAGGUUUGAACUGAUAAAUAAAACUGUCUAAGAAGG
rnacentral:lncRNA from 1 species